AAGAGAGAUUCAAUACUGCAAUGAAACAAUGGUAAGUGUUUUGAACGGAAUAUGGGAGAGGACAGAGACAUUAAUUUAUUGUAGCUGUGCAAAAGACAAGGAAUAGUUUUAUGUUUCCAAUAGUCUGAAAUGGGAACUUUUUCUGAUAAGCAGUGAAGUUUUGGGAAAAGUUGAUGAUUUGAGAAAUUGAAUGUACGAAAGAGGAAUUUAUCACACAGAAACUGCCGUCUAAAUUUGAGAGGAGGAUCACAACAUUCAACUUGAAGCGCAUUUACUGGACUACUUUUCAUGGCUCCUGUUACAAUUCUGAGAGCUUUUGACUGUAUCAGAUCUAAUUUUUUAAAAGCAGAUUUAUUGCCUGGCUCGAGAAGAAACAUGCCGUAGUCCAGAACACUUCUGAUGAGAGCAUUGUAUAUAAGCUUCAUUGAAAAAGGGUGAGCUCCCCACCAAACUCCAGAUAAACAUCUGAGAAUAUUUAUUCUUUUUUCACACUUUUCUGCAAUAUACUCGCAGUGUUGAUUUCCAGUCAGUUUUGAGUCUAGAAUUACUCCCAGAAAUUUGUGAUGAGGUUUUACAGGAAUCAAAUCAUUAUCAUAAGAAAUUUGGACAGGAGGUGGAUUUCUCAAUCUUGAAAAAAUUACUGUGGCACUUUUAUUAGCAGAUAAGUUUAAUCCAUUAUUAUCAAGCCAGGAUUUUAAAUUAGAUAGUGAAGAAGUAAGUGCUGACGCAGCAACUUCUAUUU